CAGCAGCCGCGGUAAUACGAAGGGUGCAAGCGUUACUCGGAAUUACUGGGCGUAAAGCGUGCGUAGGUGGUGGUUUAAGUCCGUUGUGAAAGCCCUGGGCUCAACCUGGGAAUUGCAGUGGAUACUGGGUCACUAGAGUGUGGUAGAGGAUAGUGGAAUUUCCGGUGUAGCAGUGAGAUGCGUAGAGAUCGGAAGGAACAUCUGUGGCGAAGGCGACUAUCUGGGCCAACACUGACACUGAGGCACGAAAGCGUGGGGAGCAAACAGGAUUAGAUACCCCUGUAGUCCCUGUCUCUUAUAC
rnacentral:rRNA from 1 species